GUUUCAUAGAAAAAAAAAAGAUUCCUUUUGGUCUUCAAAUGCCAAUAAGGCAUUAAUUCAACUUGUUAUAAGAAGGGGGAAAAUAGGAAUAAUGAUAUCCUAGUUUCAAUUCUUUCAUUGUGCUUAUUGUUAUCCAUCACAAUUUUCAUCUUAUCAUCCUAUUGCAUAUAGGGAUUCACCAUUUCAAUUGGGACGUUUUACAAUAAAAUGAUGGAACUUUUGCAAGUUAAACUAACACUGACUAUGGACAACUGAAGAAAUGGUAUAAUGGCGAUUCCUAUUUUCACAUAUUUUCUAUUUGGGGUGCAUUGAGUUUCUUUCAUUCAUAUUUGCAAAGAAGAAACUACAUUUUAACUUUCAACACUACUGACAAAUGAAAGAAAUCGCAGAACAUCUUUUCAAUUGAAGGGUGAACCUUUUUGAACAUGUAUGACACUUGGAUAAAUACAAAGACUAUCAAAUGCUGCAACUAGAACUCCAGAUUGAAUAAUUUUGAGCUUAUUUGUGCACGGGUGCUUGCACCAGUGGGUGGGUGUGUGUGUGUGUGUGUGU
rnacentral:misc_RNA from 1 species